CAGCAGCCGCGGUAAUACGUAGGUCCCGAGCGUUGUCCGGAUUUAUUGGGCGUAAAGGGAGCGCAGGCGGUUUAGUAAGUCUGAAGUUAAAGGCAUUGGCUCAACCAAUGUAUGCUUUGGAAACUGUUAGACUUGAGUGCAGAAGGGGAGAGUGGAAUUCCAUGUGUAGCGGUGAAAUGCGUAGAUAUAUGGAGGAACACCGGUGGCGAAAGCGGCUCUCUGGUCUGUCACUGACGCUGAGGCUCGAAAGCGUGGGUAGCGAACAGGAUUAGAUACCCGCGUAGUCCCUGUCUCUUAUACA
rnacentral:rRNA from 1 species